rnacentral:lncRNA from 1 species
AAGUGAAUAUCGUAAAGUGAUGUGAUAAAAAAUAAACAUAAUAAACAAAAUUAAACAUCUAAUACAUCAAGUGAGAAUAAAUAAAAACAUCAUAAAGAUGAUGUCUAAUUACGAUCUGGGUUCAUAUUUUGGCAAAUAACAUUCACAGUGCUAUAUUCAUUGUGCAAUCGAUGGAAAUUUUUUAACAAUUUCACCUUUUGUAUAAUUUUUUACUAAAUAAACAAAGCUACCCUUACGGUAACGUCGCCGGAGCAAUAGAUGAUGGCAGGUUGUGGUGAUGGCCAGGGUUGUGGAUGAGGCAAGUUGGUUUGGUACGAUGGCCUUGGAGGAUGGUGGCGAGGUGCUGUGCCGCUUGAGAGAGCAAUGUUGGGCAGUACAAGGACUUGGCUUGGGCAGCUUUCGAGUGCUGAUAGGGGUUGGGUUGUGGUGUCGAUGGAAUAACAAGACAUGGGUGGCUGAUGGUGAUAAGAUUGGUGCUAGUAAGAUAAGGAAGUAAUGGCCAGACACCGGGGUGGAGGGGAGGAGUAAAUGAUGAUGAAAGAAGAAAGAAAAACUAGGAAGAAUUCUAA